GAACGCGAAGAACCUUACCAGCCCUUGACAUGUCUAGGACCGGUCGCAGAGAUGUGACCUUCUCUUCGGAGCCUAGAGCACAGGUGCUGCAUGGCUGUCGUCAGCUCGUGUCGUGAGAUGUUGGGUUAAGUCCCGCAACGAGCGCAACCCCCGUCCUUAGUUGCUACCAUUUAGUUGAGCACUCUAAGGAGACUGCCGGUGAUAAGCCGCGAGGAAGGUGGGGAUGACGUCAAGUCCUCAUGGCCCUUACGGGCUGGGCUACACACGUGCUACAAUGGCGGUGACAAUGGGAUGCUAAGGGGCGACCCUUCGCAAAUCUCAAAAAGCCGUCUCAGUUCGGAUUGGAGUCUGCAACUCGACUCCAUGAAGUUGGAAUCGCUAGUAAUCGUGGAUCAGCAUGCCACGGUGAAUACGUUCCCGGGUCUUGUACACACC
rnacentral:rRNA from 1 species